GUUACAAGGGUAACAAUUACUAACCCAAUCCCUCUGAGAUUAACAUUUAACUAUAACAUUUAACUUCAAGGCAAAAUUAUUAAUGAGAUAAAAAAUUAACAUAAUCUCUUUAGGUAUCUAAAUAACACUAACGAGAGUUAAAAGUUAUAAGGAUAAAAAUUACCCAAAAUCUCAUACCAAACACCCCUUUAACCUAAUAAUGCUAGAAUUAGUUUUAAGUAUGA
rnacentral:misc_RNA from 1 species